UACGUAGGGAGCGAGCGUUGUCCGGAUUUACUGGGUGUAAAGGGUGCGUAGGCGGCAAUGCAAGUCAGGCGUGAAAGCUCGGGGCUUAACCCCGAAACUGCGCUUGAAACUGUGUUGCUUGAGUGAAGUAGAGGUAGGCGGAAUUCCCGGUGUAGCGGUGAGAUGCGUAGAGAUCGGGAGGAACACCAGUGGCGAAGGCGGCCUACUGGGCUUUAACUGACGCUGAGGCACGAAAGCAUGGGUAGCAAACAGG
rnacentral:rRNA from 1 species